rnacentral:lncRNA from 1 species
AUCAAUAGACAACCCAGAAUCAUAGUAGGAGAUUUUAACCUCUCUCUCCGAUUCUUAGAACAAUAGACCAAAAACAGCAAUAGACAAUCCACAAUCAUAGUCGGAGAUUUUAACCUCUCUCUCUCUCCAAUUCUUAGAACAAUAGACCAAAAACAUCAGCAGACAAUCCACAAUCAUAGUCAGAGAUUUUAACCUCUCUCUCUCCAAUUCUUAGAACAAUAGACCAAAAACAUCAAUAGACAAUCCACAAUCAUAGUCAGAGAUUGUAACCUCUCUGUCUCCAAUUCUUAGAACAAUAGACCAAAAACAUCAAUAAGACAACCCACAAUCAUAGUCGGAGAUUUUAACCUCUCUCUCUCUCUGAUUCUUAGAACAAUAGACCAAAAAC